ACGCCGCCAUCUUCCGCCAGGCGCAGCGCCCGCCGCCACCGCCUCCCCCGCCUCUGUGGGCGGAGCCCACCCCGAGCCCCGCCGCCGCCGCCGCCGGCACGGGCUGCCUGUGCGCUGCCUCCCCCGCAGGGGGCGCUGCAGUCACCCCCGCCCCUGGGUCCCGCCCGGGGGAGGUGCCUGCCCUGGCCCAGCCCCAGCCCCAGGCCCGGGGGCGGUGUCACAAAGCCCCGCUCCGCCUCCCGCGCCCGCCAGGGUCCCCUGCGCCUCUUGCUCUUGGCUAAGAGUAUCGCAAAAAUCUGCACCCGUGGCAUUUGCGACACUUGUGUUUUACCUUGUAUACUCCUGCAGUUGAUAACUUACUCUUCUUACCUCAUAACUGACCGUGCUCUAUUUCCAGACCGGUAACUAUGAUAUUUAGCAGGGGCCGGAGUUGAACCGCCCCCUCCCAGCGUCAGGCGGGCCCUGACUGAGCGAGUGACUCCGUCAUUGCAUGUGUAACACAGUAGCCAGCUUCAGUAACAAGUUAAGCGUCAAUUAACACCACAACUCAACAAAAGGAAGAGUCAAUAAGAGUCAAUGUAGCAGCCGGGAACUCCCUCAAGCGUCACUGUUAAAGGUACAGAAGCCCCGGGUUGAACUAAACGCUGGAGACCGACCCUUGGGGCUGAAAUACCCCCAUCAACUGCUCCCAGAGCCCUGUUCAUCACCGCAGUGAAUUCAUCAAAAUCAUCCACGGACUCGCCGACGUGACCCCGGGGCUGACAGCUGCCAUCCUACAGCCACCAAGGGGGAUGUCCCACGAAGUCAAUGACCCCUGGAUUGGGUAAGCCUGAAAAUUGAGAAGUCACCAACGUCUGCCAGAGAGGGAUAAAAGGCAGCAAAGAAUGACCCCCAAUGGCACCCUCUUUGGCCUGACCAGCACCCUGCCUGUCCAGGCAGAAGGACCAGCCAGCGACCCUCUUCUGAAGCAACAUCGCACUGAAAGAAGCCUUGACUGGCCAUCGAUGGCAGACUGAAGCGCUUGGGGACAGUGAUGGGAAUUCUGUACUAGAGACACCCCUAAACAAGAAAAUGGACAAGAGUUACUGUGCCAUUAAAAAACAAAAAAGGAACUGGGUUUGUAGCAGAGACAUCCUAGAGAGGAUUAGACGCUGUCAAACCGACUGUACCGAAGCCAGCACCAGCGAAAGAACAUGGCCUGGUGAUGGGCUGUGCCAGGGCUGUCCCCUUCCAGGUUGCCUGUGAUUGAAGCGUGGUCCUGGGGCUCCUACCCGGUUGCGGACCCCCCACGGCUCCGGGGGCUCCAGGCACCCCCUCCGGCCUUUGCUCCAGGGGAGGGGUUGGUGCAGCAGGACGAGCGCUGCCGCGCCAGGGGAGCCCGCAGGGUGCCAGCGUAACAGUCCGAGAGGGAGCUGGCAGCCGGGGAGCCAGGGUGC